GGAUUGAAUCCCUAUGUAAUUAACUUGAUGGAAUAACAGGAGAGUAUAAAAGUGGCACCCGUUCCUGCAAAGCUAUUCAUCUUCAACACUAACAAAACCUUGAAGCUAGAGUUUUGAUUAAAGAUUUCAAUGGCAGGUGAGGCUCAAUCCGGUUCACAGCAACCUCAANCCACUCCACCAGACACCAAGANCACGGACACCACCACCAAACCCAACAUCGACAGUAUCGAUAAGAUUGGCUCUCCCGACGUUUAUGUAAAACUUGCGAGGGACCGUGUCAAAGGUUUCACCGCCAUUGUGUUUGAAAGCCAACCGUAAUGUGGAGAUUUCCUUGGCAGCCUCUACUCCUACUGUCCAACCAUGGACAUCAAUCCUCUCGUAAUGAAGCUACAUAUAUAGCUGCACCCAACUUAAUCAUUAACUAAAUAAUCUCUGCUGUUCAUGUUGCCUCUUUCUUCUUUUCAUAUGUUUCCCUAGUCAAAACUAUCCUACUAUCAAUAAAACAGGAGUAUAUAUGGCUGUACCACUAUUUUCUAAA